rnacentral:rRNA from 1 species
UACGGAGGGUGCAAGCGUUAAUCGGAAUUACUGGGCGUAAAGCGUGCGCAGGCGGUUUGUUAAGUCCGCUGUGAAAUCCCCGAGCUCAACUUGGGAAUUGCAGUGGAUACUGGCAAGCUGGAGUAUGGUAGAGGAAGGUGGAAUUCCCGGUGUAGCAGUGAAAUGCGUAGAGAUCGGGAGGAACACCAGUGGCGAAGGCGGCCUUCUGGACCAAUACUGACGCUCAUGCACGAAAGCGUGGGGAGAAAACAGG